CGGAGGAAAAGAAACCAACAGGGAUUGCCUCAGUAACGGCGAGUGAAGCGGCAAAAGCUCAAAUUUGAAAUCUGGCUCUUUCAGGGUCCGAGUUGUAAUUUGUAGAAGAUGCUUUGGGUGUGGCUCUGGUUUAAGUUCUUUGGAAUAUUACAUCAUAGAGGGUGAGAAUCCCGUAUGUGGCCAGUCGCCGCGCCCGUGUAAAGCUCUUUCAACGAGUCGAGUUGUUUGGGAAUGCAGCUCAAAAUGGGAGGUAUAUUUCUUCUAAAGCUAAAUAUUGGCCAGAGACCGAUAGCGCACAAGUAGAGUGAUCGAAAGAUGAAAAGCACUUUGGAAAGAGAGUUAAACAGUACGUGAAAUUGUUGAAAGGGAAGCGCUUGCAACCAGACUUGCACGCAGUUGAUCAUCCGGUGUUCUCACCGGGGCACUCUGCUGCGUUCAGGCCAGCAUCGGUUUUGGUGGUUGGAUAAAGGCCUUGGGAAUGUAGCUUCUUUCGGGGAGUGUUAUAGCCCUUGGUGCAAUGCAGCCUACCGGGACCGAGGACCGCGCUUCGGCUAGGAUGCU
rnacentral:rRNA from 1 species